GUGGGGAAUUUUUGUCAAUGGGGGAAACCCUGAACAAGCAACGCCGCGUGAAGGACGAAGACCCUCGGGUUGUAAACUUCUGUCGGAGGGGACGAAAGCUUUCGUGGUUAAUACCCAUGAUGGUUGACGGUACCCUAUGAGGAAGCCCCGGCUAACUCCGUGCCAGCAGCCGCGGUAAUACGGGGGGGGCAAGCGUUGUUCGGAAUUACUGGGCGUAAAGGGCGCGCAGGCGGGCGGGAAAGUCUCUCGUGAAAUCCCACGGCUCAACCGUGGAAUUGCGGGAGAUACUACUCGUCUUGAGUCCGGGAGAGGAGUGUGGAAUUCCCAGUGUAGCGGUGAAAUGCGUAGAUAUUGGGAGGAACACCGGUGGCGAAGGCGGCACUCUGGACCGGUACUGACGCUGAGGCGCGAAAGCUAGGGGAGCAAACGGG
rnacentral:rRNA from 1 species